ensembl:misc_RNA Metazoa_SRP Metazoan signal recognition particle RNA
GCUGGGUGUGGUGGUGCGCACCUGUAAUCUCAGCUACUUGGGAGGCUGAGGCAGGAAAAUCGCUUGAACCCAGGAGGUAGAGGAUGCAGCGAGCUGAGAUCGUGCCACUGCACUCCAACCUGGUGACAGAGUGAGACUCUGUCUCUAAAUAAAUAAAUAAAUGGGGAUAUAUUGUACCUCGGUGUCUUGUUUUGUUUUGUUCUUGUUUUUUUUUUUUUGAAACGGAGUCUCACUCUGUCACCCAGGCUGGAGUGCAGUGGCCUGAUUUUGGCUCACUGCAAGCUCCGCCUCCUGGGUUCAAGCGAUUCUCCUGCCUCAG